AUUGAACGCUGUCGGCAGGCCUAACACAUGCAAGUCGAACGAGUGGCGGACGGGUGAGUAAUGUCUGGGAAACUGCCUGAUGGAGGGGGAUAACUACUGGAAACGGUAGCUAAUACCGCAUACCCUCAGAUGUGCCCAGAUGGGAUUAGCUUGUUCGUGGGGUAACGGCUCACCAAGGCGACGAUCCCGAGCUGGUAUGAGAGGAUGACCAGCCACAAUGGAAGUGAGAAACGGGCCAGCCUCCGACGGGAGGCAGCAGUGGGGAAUAUUGCACAAUGGGCGCAAGCCUGAUGCAGCCAUGCCGCGUGUAUGAAGAAGGCCUUCGGGUUGUAAAGUACUUUCAGCGGGGAGGCGUUACCCGCAGAAGAAGCACCGGCUAACUCCGUGCCAGCAGCCGCGGUAAUUC
rnacentral:rRNA from 1 species